rnacentral:rRNA from 1 species
GUAGAGCACUGUUUGGACUAGGGGCCCUUCUCGGGUUACCGAAUUCAGAUAAACUCCGAAUGCCAUGUACUUAUACUCGGGAGUCAGACUGCGAGUGAUAAGAUCCGUAGUCGAAAGGGAAACAGCCCAGACCACCAGUUAAGGUCCCCAAAUAUAUGUUAAGUGGAAAAGGAUGUGGGGUUGCUUAGACAACCAGGAUGUUGGCUUAGAAGCAGCCACCAUUGAAAGAGUGCGUAAUAGCUCACUGGUCGAGUGACCCCGCGCCGAAAAUGUACCGGGGCUAAACAUAUUACCGAAACUGUGGAUGAACCUCUUUAGAGGUUCGUGGUAGGAGAGCGUUCUAAGGGCGGUGAAGUCAGACCGGAAGGACUGGUGGAGCGCUUAGAAGUGAGAAUGCCGGUAUGAGUAGCGAAAGAAGGGUGAGAAUCCCUUCCACCGAAUAUCUAAGGUUUCCUGAGGAAGGCUCGUCCGCUCAGGGUUAGUCGGGACCUAAGCCGAGGCCGAUAGGCGUAGGCGAUGGACAACAGGUAGAGAUUCCUGUACCAGUGCUAAUUGUUUAACCGAUGGGGUGACACAGAAGGAUAGGGAAUCGCACGAAUGGAAAUGUGCG